rnacentral:rRNA from 1 species
CCUACGGGAGGCAGCAGUAGGGAAUCUUUCACAAUGGGCGAAAGCCUGAUGGAGCAACGCCGCGUGCAGGAUGAAGGCCUUCGGGUUGUAAACUGCUUUUAUAAGCGAGAAAUAUGAUGGUAACUUAUGAAUAAGGAUCGGCUAACAACGUGCCAGCAGCCGCGGUCAUACGUAGGAUCCGAGCAUUAUCCGGAGUGACUGGGUGUAAAGAGUUGCGUAGGUGGGAUAAUAAGUAGCUAGUGAAAUCUGGUGGCUCAACCAUUCAGACUAUUAUCGAAACUGUUAAGCUCGAGACCGUUAGGGGUAACUGGAAUUUCUAGUGUAGGGGUGAAAUCCGUAGAUAUUAGAAGGAACACCAAUAGCGAAGGCAGGUUGCUGGGACGGUUCUGACGCUGAGGCACGAAAGCGUAGGGAGCAAACAGGAUUAGAUACCCUUGUAGUC